ACAGCCAUAUAGAGUUGAAAUACUGAUUCCCGUAUGAUCACCGAAGUUAAGCAAUGUCGAGCCUAGUAGGUAUGUAGAUGGGUGACCGUCUCGGAAUACCGGUGCUGUAAG